rnacentral:misc_RNA from 1 species
AAUUAUAUGUAAAUGUGACAUAUGAUGGCUUCAAAUUUGUAGAUCCAUAAAAUCGUGUGUUCUAUAUUUCUAUGACUAUGAAAUGAUAUUUAAUGGAAUGAAAUCAAUUUGUUCUGGAAGGCUGAUAAAACGAUCAAGUAGGAGAUUUUUUUUCAUUGAAAUUGGUAGAAUGCUCAAAGAAAACCUUUUCUCAUAUGUAUGUCAUUCUUUUGUAUCAUCUGCAGCAUCUGGGUUUGUGGUCGCCAACAAUUGUAAGAGG